CCGUUCCUGGGCCGGAUCACGGCCGGGGCGCUGGAGGUGCUGCGGCCCGAGGGCAUCCAUCUCGUGAUCAUGCCCGCGGAGUGGAC
rnacentral:tRNA from 1 species